AUCCGGUCGCGGACUCAGAGACGGAGUUCUUCAGUUCGGCUGGACCGGAGACAGGUGCUGCAUGGCUGUCGUCAGCUCGUGUCGUGAGAUGUUGGGUUAAGUCCCGCAACGAGCGCAACCCCCGUCCUUAGUUGCUACCAUUUAGUUGAGCACUCUAAGGAGACUGCCGGUGAUAAGCCGCGAGGAAGGUGGGGAUGACGUCAAGUCCUCAUGGCCCUUACGGGCUGGGCUACACACGUGCUACAAUGGCGGUGACAAUGGGAUGCUAAGGGGCGACCCUUCGCAAAUCUCAAAAAGCCGUCUCAGUUCGGAUUGGGCUCUGCAACUCGAGCCCAUGAAGUUGGAAUCGCUAGUAAUCGUGGAUCAGCACGCCACGGUGAAUACGUUCCCGGGUGGACCCCCCCCGGA
rnacentral:rRNA from 1 species